rnacentral:rRNA from 1 species
GACGAACGCUGGCGGCGUGCUUAACACAUGCAAGUCGAACGGAAAGGCCCUGCCUUUGUGGGGUGCUCGAGUGGCGAACGGGUGAGUAACACGUGAGUAACCUGCCUCUGACUUUGGGAUAACUUCAGGAAACUGGGGUUCAUACCGGAUAGGAGCUCCUGCUGCAUGGUGGUGGAUGGAAAGUUUCGGCGGUUGGGGAUGGACUCGCGGCUUAUCAGCUUGUUGGUGGGGUAGUGGCUUACCAAGGCUUUGACGGGUAGCCGGCCUGAGAGGGUGACCGGCCACAUUGGGACUGAGAUACGGCCCAGACUAGUACGGGAGGCAGCAGUGGGGAAUAUUGCACGAUGGGCGGAAGCCUGAUGCAGCAACGCCGCGUGCGGGAUGACGGCCUUCGGGUUGUAAACCACUUUCGCCUGUGACGAAGCGUGAGUGACGGUAAUGGGUAAAGAAGCACCGGCUAACUACGUG